GAGAAGUCUCCACAACCAAUAAUGAAAUAAUGACUUUGAAAACAUGAAUUAUCAAGUGUAGAAAGGCUUUAUUUUUAAAGAAGAGUGUGGUAUUCAUCAAGAUUGGGGAUAUGAGUUCUUCACUCAAGGUCACCUUUGCAGUGGGCACUCACUACCUGGGAUCUGGUGUUUUUCAGAUUCCUGAUCUGAGGAAAUAGUGUGAAGCCACAGGAAUGAAGCCAUGGAAACUAUUGUAAACAAAGGAAGAAGAACCACCAAGACUAAGCAACACUUGCACUCAACAGCAACGCUUUCAUGAAGAUUUCAUCCUUGUGCCUAUUUCUUCCAACUCUUUCCAGAGAACAAGAGGAUAGACAGAGGAUUGCCUGAUACACAGAGCCUAAUGGUGAAUUGCAGGCAGACAGUGUCUAAUCAGAUGGCAGCUGAGCCUGGAAGGCUGGGAGGAUGGGGGGGGCAUUCCUGAGGAGAGAUGAGGCUGCUAGCCUUUCUGCAUUGUCUGGGUUCUUUUCUCUCCCUGGGAUCAACAACAUAAACUAAGAUGGAGAAGGA
rnacentral:lncRNA from 1 species